rnacentral:tRNA from 1 species
CAGGGAGACAACAAAAUGUUUAAUAUUAUUAUUUUGUCACCUUAGGUCGAUCGGUAUCUCACGUUCUUAAUUAAUUAAGAAUUUCAUUUCCUAAGUUUUUCUAGGUCACACCCAUUAUUUUCCUGGGCCAUUAGCUCAGGUGGUUAGAGCGCACCCCUGAUAAGGGUGAGGUCCCUGGUUCAAGUCCAGGAUGGCCCAUAUCUCUAUGUUGGGGGUAUAGCUCAGUUGGUAGAGCGCCUGCUUUGCAAGCAGGAUGUCAGCGGUUCGAGUCCGCUUACCUCCACUGAUUACCACCUCUUCCAUAAUUUGUAGAAAGGAAAAUUUUUGAGUUGUGAUCAUAUUUCUGAACGAAUCUAGCUUCCUAAUGAAAUCAUUAAGAUGCUGGACUCAUUGAAUUAAUUUCAUUGUUUUCAGAGAACCUUGACAACUGCAUAGAUUAUUUUUAAAGACAAUAAGCAUCUUUAUGAUGCAGAUUUAUUAUUUGUGCGAAUGCAUUAAUAACAAUUCUAUUAAGCUGAUGCUUCAAUUUUGAAGUUAUU